GGCAAGGAUAUGGAGAAAAGGGGACCCUUGUACACUGUUGGUUGGAGUGCACACAGCUCUAUUCUGGCAAUUCCAAAUGGUAGCCUCUGCCCUUGAACUUAGAUCAGUCAUUGAUCCUGCUCACCAAGUGUGUUGGGGUGGGGAAAGGGAGUAAAGGAAACCUGUGUGGUAUUAAGAUUGCCCAUUGCAAGAAGUUGCAUGUGGCAGGCAAAUUGUCUCAGAUUAUUGCAACUGUUGUAUCUUCAAAUGUCAAUUCACAGACCUAGGAGAUGUAGAAUGGAAGCAGGGUGUCUUUGUGGACUGACCCCAGGCACUGCUGCUGGAGCACAGACACUCCCUGCUUCUGCUGACUGCCCUAGUAAUGGAGCACAGCAGGAGACAUCCAGAAAGUCCAAAGAUGUAAGUUGUUAUCCUGGUUUGCUACUAGCAAUUUGUAAAAUGGACAACUGGAAAAACUAACUUUUGAGACUCUUAAGCCUCAGUUUUGGUGAGUAAAAUGGCCUUAACAGUACGUAUUUUACUAUUCAAUCUGAGGUAUUGAGGAAUUUCAAUGAUAGCUUUCCUUACAUUGAAUCCUUACCUUGGGAAAUGUGCCUCAUUCCCACUCAUGGGUCAAUUUACCAGGGAAUUUUAGACAUAGUGGUGAUAUAGCAUAUAUGUGGCCUUGAUAUUGUACCCAUUUCCCCUCACUCCAUCAUUAAUUUUUUUCUACCCUCUCCAGAAAUUUCCAAGAUUUACAGUCAGAAUCAGAUUUUUUAUUAUAGAUAGGAAUCUGUUUCCUUGUAAUGACCCUCUACCCACCCUUAAAUAAAUGUUUGUUAUAAGUAAAUAAAUGCACAUAUAAGGGAAGAAACAAAGGGUGAGAAGGAAGGCAAGAAGAAAGAAAAACAUGUUAUUUCCAUAUUGUCUGGGUAUUUGGUUCACUGGUGGCUGUUCUUCCCACACGGUCUGCUGGUAAAGAAUUUGAUUCAUCGUCCCAGGCUAUGACCUCAUGAGAAAAUAAUGCUACAAUACUUAAUGCACAAAAAAUCAAUGUAGUGGGGCAUUCUCCUAGAAAAUACCUCACUCUAGACUCCAGAGGUGCUACACCAAAUCCAUUGCUAGAAAAUACGAUACAAACCAAAAGUGUGAACACCAUCAUUGCUUAUGUUUGCUGGAAGAAAAGAUUCCAAAUAUUGACAUAUCAGGUUCCAGUAAUAUGUCUGGCUAACUCUCAAGAUACACCCUUUUCCUGAAAGCCUAAAAUGCUAAAAAGCUAAACAUGCUGAUAUAUAGAUAUAAAAUACCUUGUAUAUAUUAGCAGUAGAGGAGUUUGACAGAAUGUUAUAUGUAAUUGAAUAGAUUUGUAAAUAGGAAGAUAUGCUAAAAAAAAAUUAUCCAAAAUGUAACAGAGGGCAAAAGAGAAAUAGAAAAAGUGAAAGAGAAAGCUAAGAGACAUCGAGCAUAGAGGAGAAAGAUCUGCUCUAUGUCAGACUGGAGUUUCUGAGAGAUAAGAGAGAUCAAAUGGACUAGAAUAAUAUUUAAACAGAUAAAGACAGAGAAUUUUCCAGAACUGAUGAUAAAUACUGUAUCAGAAUCCAGUCAGGAGACAGAAACCCACCUUAAACUUGAGUCAGAAAUUAUUAAUAUAAAAUUUAGUAUAAAGAAUUGACUAAGUAAAAAGUGGUUAAUGGCUAAGAGAGUAAAGGUGGACUCUGGAGUGUAACAGAGGUGGCAAAUGCAGAAACUCACUGGGCUGACAGAACAAGGAAACCAGGAGAAACUUAGAAACUUAGAGGACGAGUCCACAGAACCAAGCAUCAAAAAGCUCUGAUGAGAAAGCACAGCUGCUGCGGGAAUGCUGGACACCUGAGGAACCCAAGGAAUGCCACCGCAGAGAUGAGCCGUGCAUUGAGCCAACAGCUGCAUGCAGACAACCAUCGCCAAGAUUGCUCACAGGAUCAUAAGCCCACAACCAGACCUCAGAAACAAAACAAAACAAAAACCAAACAAACAAAAAAACAGGACAUGGUAAGUCCCUUCCUCCUCCUCAAGCCUUGCAUGUCCCUCCAGAAUCUCUCACUGGUGGAACCAACAUAGAGACACUGGCAAAGGAAAGUUGUGUGUGCAAAAUCCAAUUUGUAAAUCUGUCCAAUUUGCAAUUGGAGGAUAGGCUAAAAGAAAUUGUGCAAAAUGUAGCAGAGGGAGAAAGGGAAAUGGAAAAAAUAAAAGAGAAAGCUAAGAGACAUAGACUAGCUCUCACACCACAGAGUACAGAAGGGUGGGUUGGAGCUAUGAAGGAAUGUAUUAAGAACUGACACAGACAUCAAUACACAGAAUCCAAAAUAGGUAGUAUUUAUUGAGCACUUAUUUGUGCAAGUACUGUUCUAUAUGUGCUUUACACAUAUUAACUCAUUUAAUCAUUGUAACAGUCUAGGAAGGACUAUGUUUAGAAGUCCAGUGAAUCACAAGCAAAAUAUUUGAAAAGCAAUUCCCUCCUAGACAUUUUACUGAUAAAAAACUGCAACACCAAAGACUACAAAAGAUGUUAAAAACAUCUAGAGAAAAAACACAAGUGAUAGUUACACUAACAGCUGACUUUGCAGGACUAGGAAGCUUGCUAGAAGACAAGAGAAUGAUAUUGUAAAUGUGCUAAAACAAAGCAAUUGUCAACUUAGAAUUCUACAACCAGAAAAAGUCUUUGAAGAAUUGGGACAAAAUAGAGAAAGUAGCGGGCAAAACUAAAAGCUUGCCACUAGUACGUCCUCUCUAAAGGAAGUUCUAAAUGAUGAAUUUCAGACAGAAGGAAUGUGAACCCCAGUGGAAGGUCUGAAAUGCAAGAAGGAAUGAAGAAUUAACUGAGAAGGCCAACAUGUGGGUGAUUCUAAUAGACAUAAAAAAUAAUGCCUUGUGUGGUUAAAAAUAAGAAAGAUGGAAUUAAAGUGGCUGAGCCCUAGUUUUCCACAUUAAUCCCCCCUGCAUCAGAUUGCUUGCUUUCCCUGUCUCACUUCCCCAUUCCCUCACUGGUGCUUAGUGGGAUCCAAAAUAAAAUACUUACACUCCAAUUUUAGACACCACAAAAUAAUAUAAUCAAAGUGUAUUAACUUCCAAAUUAGUAGAGCAGAAGAACUAGAAUGACAAAAUACUAUCAAUUCGAAAGAAGAUAAGAAUGGAGAGAAAAAGAAACAGCUCUUUAAGGACAAAUACAAAGCGUAAAAUAAGAAGAUAUUUGGUUGAGGAUUAAAAACAGACAAAAGCAUCAGUUAAAAUAUGUAUUACAUGAACAGCAGGAUUAACCAACUUGAUUUAAUGGACAUAUACAACAUAAUGCACCCAAACACCCACUGCUAUGAUUUGAAUGUUUGUUCCCCAUCAAAUUCAUAUGUUAAAAUCCUAACGCUCAACAUAGCAGUAUUAGGAGGUGGGGUCUUUUGGGAGGUGGUAGGUCAUGAAGGUAGAGGCCUCAUGAAUGGGAUCAGUGCCCUUAUGAAAUAGGCCCGAGAGAGCUCAUUCACCCUUUCACCACAUGAGGACACGGUGAGAAAGUGCUAUCUACGAAGAAGGAAACAGGCCCUCACCAGACACUGAAUCUGCUGGUGCCUCAAUCUUGUACUUCCCAGCCUCCAGAACUAUGAGAAUCAAAUCUCUGUUGUUUACAAGCCACCUCGUUUAUGGCAUUUUGUUAGAGCAUCCCAAAUGGUCUAAGACACACAUUUGUUUCAAGAAUACAUAGGCCCUUAAUAAAUUCUUACAUACUAGCCCAUUAAGCAAGCCUCAACAUAUUUCAAAGGGCUGAAAUGAUAUAGGGCUUGCUAUUUGACCAAUGCAUUUAAGCUAAAAGUAAAAAAUAAAAGAUAACUAAAACACCCUUAUUUGUUUGGAAAUAAAGAAACAAACAACCUAUGGGUCAAAGAAGAAAUCAUAAUGGAAAUUAUAAAAUAUUUCUAACUGAGUAGUAAUAAAAAUACUACAUAUAAAAACUCAUGAGUUGCAGCUAAGGCAGGAUUUAAAGGGAACUCUAGUCCUCAAAUAUGCAUACUAGUAAAGAAGAAAAACUGAAAGUUAAUGAGCUGAGGAAGUUAAGAAAGGAGCAGCAAAAUAGACAAAAGUAGAAAGAAGAGAAUCCUGCAGAGCACAAAAGCUAAGAAUUAAUGGGAGAAUCAACAGGUCCAAAAGUUGGUUCUCUGAAAAGAUAAAUACAAUUAACAAAUUUCUAGCUAGAAUGAUCAAGGCAAAAAAGAGAGAAGGCUCAUAUGCCCAGUGUCAGGAAUAAAAAGGGGAACCUCAUGGCAGAUGCUGCAGACAUUUAAAAGAUAAUAACAAGAUAUUACAAAUAACUUUAUGCCUAUACAUUGAAACAUUAAAUUUAGAGGUUUCCAAAUAAAUAUAUAACACAUAUAAAAUCUGAAUUGCCUUAUAACCAUUAAAGAAUUUAAAUGGAAAAUUAGUUUCAUACAAAAUCUUCAGAGCAGAUGGCUUUACCAGUGAAUUCUACCACAUAUUCAAGUAAUCAAUAAUUCUAAUCUUACACAAACUCAGAGAAUACAAAAAGAGAAAAUACCCCUCAACUAACUUUAUAAGUCUAGCUAAAGCCUAAUAUCAAGGUUACUUAUGAGAAGAAAAAAAUUACAAGCUAAAAAUCACCCAUGAGCAUGAGUAUAAAAAUCCUAAACAAGUUAUUGUCUGGUCAAUAAAGUAGCAAAUAUGUAUAUGGUGCUUACUAUUUUUCAGGAACUGGUUUAAGCAUUUUGGACAUAUUACUAAAAUUUACAGAAGUUUUGUGAGUUAAGGGCUAUUAUUAUCCCCAUUUCAGCAUAUGAGAAAAUCAAGGCACAAAAAUGUAAAGUAAAUUGCCCAGGUCACGCUGCUAGACAGUGGUAUAGCCAAGUUUUAGACCCAGGCAAUCUAACUCAAGAGCCUAAUUUUCUAGCAGCUAUACAAUGGCCAAGGUGAGUGUUUCCCAGGAAUACAAAGUGAUUUAACAUUCAAAAUUCAAUUAAUACAAAUCAUCACAUGUACAUGUUAAAGGAAAAAUAUCUUCUGAUCCAUUCAACAGAUGCAGAAAAAAAAAAAAGAAAAAGCUUAAAUUCUAUAUCCAUUCACAACAAAAACAAUCCUUGCCAAACUGGAAAUAGAAUAAGACUUCCUUAAUCAGAUAAAGAUUACCUACAAAAACCUCAACAAACAUCACUCUUCCCGAUGACCCAUUUACAAGCUUUCCUUUCAAGUUGAACAGAGACAAAAAUGUUAACAAAUACCAAUUUCAUUCAACAUCCUGGACAGUACGGCAGGUUAAAAAAAGGUUAAAAAUGUAAGUAUUGAGGAGGAAAAAGAAAAAACUGUUACUAUUAGCAGAUAACAUGAUGAUAUAGAGAGAGAAUGAAAAAUAAUCUACAAGUAAAUUAUUACAAUAUAACAGUUUAGCAAAAUAUCUGGAUAUGAAAUCAAUAUAAAAAUUAAAUUCAUUUCUAAUCAGCAACAGCUAUACAAUGAAAUUUAAAACAGACAUUGCCCACAAUGGCACUGAAAAAUAUGAAGUACCUAAGAAUAAAUCCAGCAAACUAUGUAUAAGACAUUAAUGGAGAAAAUAAUAAAAUUUUAUUGAAAGACAUUAAAGAAGACCUAAAUAAAUGGAGAAAUACGCCACUUCAUGGAUGGGGGGACUCCACAUGGUGAAGAUGUCAUUUGUCUCCAAAUUGAUUUAUAGACUCAGUAAAAUCCCAAUUAAAAUCCCAAUAGUUUUUUGGUGAAACUUGACAAGCUGGCUCUAAAAUUUAUAUGACAGUGCCAAGGGCCAAGAGUAGUUACUCUUAAAGAAGAAAAAUAAGGUGGGAGGACUUGCUCUACCAGAUAUAAAUACUUAUUAUAAAGCUGUAGUAAUUAAGACAGAGUAGUAUUGGUAGUAGGAUUGACAAAUAGACCAAUAGAACAGAGUAGAGAGCCCAUAAACAGACCUGUACUUUUAUGAACAGUUGAUAUAUGAUUGAGGUGAUAGCUUAGAUCAGUGGGGAAAAAGAUAGACCUUUCAAUAAAUAGUGCUAAGAUAAUUGGGUAUCUGUAGGGAGGAAUAAGGAAUUAGAACCCCACCUCACAUUAUGCACAAAAAACAAUUCAGGCAGAUUAAAAAACUAAAUAUGAAGGGCAAAACUCUAAAGAUUUAGAAGGUAAUGUAGAAGAAUAUCUUUAUGACCUUGGGUGCAGAUAACGAUUUCUUAAACCAGACACAAAAGCCAUGAAUCAUGAAUAAAAGAUUUGUAAAUGCUAGUAUAUUACAAUUAAGAAUGUCUGUUCGACCAAAGACACUUUAAGAGAGUGAAGAGACACUCUACAGAGAGGGAAAAGAUACUACAACACAUGAAACUGACAAGCAAGAAUUUAUGAAUUCUGACAACAGAAUUUACAAAGAACUUCUGUGAAUCAAUAUGAAAAUAAAGAAAACAAAAAACUUGAACAGACCCUUUCUGAGAAAGGAAAUCCAAGUGACCAAUAAACCUAGGAAAAGAUCCUUAAUCUCAUCAGUGGAAUGCAAAUUAAACCACAAUGAGAUACAAUUAUGCAGCCAUCAAACUGGCAAAAAUCACAUCUGACCAGCACCAAAGGCCUUGACCAAUAGAUGUCCUUGUGUAUUUCUAGCAGGCAUGUAACUUGGUGCAGCGUUAUGGAAAACAGUCUGGCAUUGACUGGUAGAGUUGAGUUGCUGCGUACCCUAUGCCCAGUAAUUACAGUCCAGGUACACACCUAGAGAAAAAUCUGGCACAUAAACAUGAAUGUUCUUAGCAGCAUUGUUUGGAACAGCCCCCAACUAGAAACAACCUAAAAGUCCAACAAUGGUAGAAUAAAUUGGAGUGUACAGCAAUGAAAAUGAACCAAUUAGAACUACAAGCAUCAGCAUGGAUGAUUCUCCAAAUGAUGUAGGGCGAAAGAAGAAAGUCCCAAGAAAGACUUCCUUUUUAUUCAAUCUAUAAAGUCCAAAAGUCCAAAACAAACAAAAGUAAAUUUUAUUAUUUAGUGAUGCACAAGUGGGUGGGAAAACUAAAGAAAAACAAUGAGAUAAUUUCAUUAGAUGCCAGGAUAGUGGUUGCCUGUGGGUGACUGGGGAGGACAAAGUUGUGCUCAGGUUACAGAACACAGGGGGAAGAGGGUGCUUCAAAAAUCCUGCAAUGCUAACCAGUGCUCAUGCAUUUUAUAUUAACCUUUAUGCUCUAUGUAAAUGUUCUAUGAACUUUUCUGUAGAUGCAUCUCACAAUUUAAAAAACAUCCUGCAUAUCCAGACGCAGAGUCCCUCGAAACAAGCACAAAUUUAGAGAUCAAGUCUACUUGAUAAUAUUGGUCUUCCCAAGUUUCCUCUCUGAGGCAGGACCUAGUGUUUCUUUUUCACUCAAUUUUACCCAGUGGGGCUAAAUGGUACUCAAUGGUACUAAAGGAUAAACAACGAUCUCUGCAAAAAUGGGGCAAGGAUGGAGGAGAACAUUACAGAAACUGCAGCUGAAGCUUUCCUUCCAAGCUUUUCUUUCCAAUGCUGGAAGAAGU
rnacentral:lncRNA from 1 species